rnacentral:rRNA from 2 species
CUUAGUGGCGAACGGGUGAGUAACACGUGGGUGACCUGCCCCGAAGUGCGGCAUAACAGGGGGAAACUCCUGCUAAUUCCGCAUGUGCUCACACCUCUUGUGGUGUGAGUAAAGAUUUAUCGCUUCGGGAUGGGCCCGCGGUCCAUCAGCUAGUUGGUAGGGUAAUGGCCUACCAAGGCGACGACGGAUAGCCGGCCUGAGAGGGCGAUCGGCCACAGGGGCACUGAGAUACGGGCCCCACUCCUACGGGAGGCAGCAGUUAGGAAUCUUCCACAAUGGGCGAAAGCCUGAUGGAGCGACACCGCGUGAAGGACGAAGGCCCUAGGGUCGUAAACUUCU